UAAUGAUCAUAUCACUAACAAGAACUUAUGAUAAUGUAGGUUGAAGGAUUAGUUGCAGUUCCCCUCUGUUACAUCAUCAUGACUCCCACAUGUUUUCUAUCAUGACGUCAUGAUGCAAAUCCAGACAGCUGUGUGUCCAUGCAGUAUUUAUGUGCAGCUGAGCUGAGUGGAGAGAUCGAGUCUCAUCAACACUCACCAUGAAGAUCCCACUCUCCUUAUUCCUGCUAGUAAUCAGCUUCAUAGGUAUUCAGUGUCAGGGUCUUGAGUCUAUUCCCACUGGUUCAGUGGUGAAAAAACCUGGAGAAACUCUGAGUCUUUCCUGUAAAGGAUCUGGGUUUAACUUUGGUGACUAUGGCAUGAACUGGAUCAGACAAAAAGCUGGAAAAGCUCUAGAAUGGAUUGGGGCUAUCUGGUACGAUGCAAGUAAAACAAUAUACGCCAAAGACAUUGAGGGACGUUUGGAAAUUACCAGAGACAACUCCAAAAACAUGGUGUAUCUGCAGCUGACUGGUUUGAGUGCCCAGGAUUCUGCUGUUUAUUACUGUGCUAGAAACCACAGUGGUACAAACAUGUUAAUCAGCUGUACAAAUUCCUCCGCCAGAUGCAGUAAAAGAGAAAAAUGCAUUCAAUAUACAAGGCUUUUUCACAAGAUCUGCAGGUGGCGCUACAGCUCAACAAAUAAAAUAUUCUUAUAUCCUCAGCCACAGCUAGAUACUCCACAAUUUCUAUGUAUUUCUGUGACACAAUGAACACUGAGACUGUCUCUUAUAGUCAUAUUCUUACAGAGGAACCAAAAGGGAAAUAAAUAACAUUUACAGAAAAAUGUCUGACUUUAAUUAGUGAUUAUUGAAUACAUACAUUUCACAAAAGUUCCAUAACAUUAACUGUAACAUUAAACGUAAAUAGAGUUCACCAUAUUCUUCUUUAAUUAAUAAAUAAAUUGUCACCGUUCACAGACUGCUGCUGUAUAAGAGGAAAAGUGAUCAUAGUAAUCAGUGCCAUUGAUUAUUAGAAAAUAAUUAUCUUCAGGUUUGUAGCAGUAACUUCAUGCAUUAAAUAUCUCAACUUUAACUGUGAAGAUCUCCUGUAAGAUACACGGCUUUGUUAUGACUGAGUACAACAUGCACUGGAUCAGACAGAAACCAGGGAAAGCUCUGGAAUGGGUUGGAUAUGUGAACUCCGUAGUCUAACUGUACCUCUGUACUGUAAGUUUGGCUUUAACAGCUUCAGCCAUGUUCAUAUUCACCUUCUCAUAACAGAAAGCAGGAAAUUUGCAGACAUGAGAAUCAUUUCUGUGUUAAUGUAAUUGUC